rnacentral:rRNA from 1 species
GACGAACGCUUGCGGCGUGCUUAACACAUGCAAGUCGAACGGAAAGGCCCUGCUUUUGUGGGGUGCUCGAGUGGCGAACGGGUGAGUAACACGUGAGUAACCUGCCCUUGACUUUGGGAUAACUUCAGGAAACUGGGGCUAAUACCGGAUAGGAGCUCCUGCUGCAUGGUGGGGGUUGGAAAGUUUCGGCGGUUGGGGAUGGACUCGCGGCUUAUCAGCUUGUUGGUGGGGUAGUGGCUUACCAAGGCUUUGACGGGUAGCCGGCCUGAGAGGGUGACCGGCCACAUUGGGACUGAGAUACGGCCCAGACUCCUACGGGAGGCAGCAGUGGGGAAUAUUGCACAAUGGGCGGAAGCCUGAUGCAGCAACGCCGCGUGCGGGAUGACGGCCUUCGGGUUGUAAACCGCUUUCGCCUGUGACGAAGCGUGAGUGACGGUAAUGGGUAAAGAAGCACCGGCUAACUACGUGCCAGCAGCCGCGGUGAUACGUAGGGUGCGAGCGUUGUCCGGAUUUAUUGGGCGUAAAGGGCUCGUAGGUGGUUGAUCGCGUCGGAAGUGUAAUCUUGGGGCUUAACCCUGAGCGUGCUUUCGAUACGGGUUGACUUGAGGAAGGUAGGGGAGAAUGGAAUUCCUGGUGGAGCGGUGGAAUGCGCAGAUAUCAGGAGGAACACCAGUGGCGAAGGCGGUUCUCUGGGCCUUUCCUGACGCUGAGGAGCGAAAGCGUGGGGAGCGAACAGGCUUAGAUACCCUGGUAGUCCACGCUGUAAACGGUGGGUACUAGGUGUGGGGUCCAUUCCACGGGUUCCGUGCCGUAGCUAACGCUUUAAGUACCCCGCCUGGGGAGUACGGCCGCAAGGCUAAAACUCAAAGGAAUUGACGGGGCCCCGCACAAGCGGCGGAGCAUGCGGAUUAAUUCGAUGCAACGCGUAGAACCUUACCUGGGUUUGACAUGGAUCGGGAGUGCUCAGAGAUGGGUGUGCCUCUUUUGGGGUCGGUUCACAGGUGGUGCAUGCCUGUCGUCAGCUCGUGUCGUGAGAUGUUGGGUUAAGUCCCGCAACGAGCGCAACCCUUGUUCACUGUUGCCAGCACGUUAUGGUGGGGACUCAGUGGAGACCGCCGGGGUCAACUCGGAGGAAGGUGGGGAUGACGUCAAGUCCUCAUGCCCCUUAUGUCCAGGGCUUCACGCAUGCUACAAUGGCUGGUACAGAGAGUGGCGAGCCUGUGAGGGUGAGCGAAUCUCGGAAAGCCGGUCUCAGUUCGGAUUGGGGUCUGCAACUCGACCUCAUGAAGUCGGAGUCACUAGUAAUCGCAGAUCAGCAACGCUGCGGUGAAUACGUUCCCGGG